rnacentral:rRNA from 1 species
GACGAACGCUGCGGCGUGCUUCACACAUGCAAGUCGAACGGAAAGGCCCUGCUUUUGUGGGGUGCUCGAGUGGCGAACGGGUGAGUAACACGUGAGUAACCUGCCCUUGACUUUGGGAUAACUUCAGGAAACUGGGGCUAAUACCGGAUAGGAGCUCCUGCUGCAUGGUGGGGGUUGGAAAGUUUCGGCGGUUGGGGAUGGACUCGCGGCUUAUCAGCUUGUUGGUGGGGUAGUGGCUUACCAAGGCUUUGACGGGUAGCCGGCCUGAGAGGGUGACCGGCCACAUUGGGACUGAGAUACGGCCCAGACUCCUACGGGAGGCAGCAGUGGGGAAUAUUGCACAAUGGGCGGAAGCCUGAUGCAGCAACGCCGCGUGCGGGAUGACGGCCUUCGGGUUGUAAACCGCUUUCGCCUGUGACGAAGCGUGAGUGACGGUAAUGGGUAAAGAAGCACCGGCUAACUACGU